AGAGUUUGAUCAUGGCUCAGGAUGAACGCUAGCGGCAGGCUUAAUACAUGCAAGUCGAGGGGCAGCAGGGGUGUAGCAAUACACUCGCUGGCGACCGGCAAACGGGUGCGGAACACGUACGCAAUCUACCCAUAACUGGGGAAUAGCCCGGGGAAACCCGGAUUAAUACCUCGUAACCUUAUAGAGUGGCAUCACUUUAUUAGUAUAGCUCAGGCGGUUAUGGAUGAGCGUGCGGCUGAUUAGGUAGUUGGCGGGGUAACGGCCCACCAAGCCUACGAUCAGUAACUGGUGUGAGAGCACGACCAGUCACACGGGCACUGAGACACGGGCCCGACUCCUACGGGAGGCAGCAGUAAGGAAUAUUGGUCAAUGGACGCAAGUCUGAACCAGCCAUGCCGCGUGGAGGAUGAAGGCCCUCUGGGUUGUAAACUUCUUUUAUCUGGGAAGAAAUCUCUAAAUUCUUUUAGAGUUGACGGUACCAGAGGAAUAAGCACCGGCUAACUCCGUGCCAGCAGCCGCGGUAAUACGGAGGGUGCAAGCGUUAUCCGGAUUCACUGGGUUUAAAGGGUGCGUAGGCGGGCAGGUAAGUCAGUGGUGAAAUCUCCAAGCUUAACUUGGAAACUGCCGUUGAUACUAUCUGUCUUGAAUGUUGUGGAGGUGAGCGGAAUAUGUCAUGUAGCGGUGAAAUGCUUAGAUAUGACAUAGAACACCAAUUGCGAAGGCAGCUCACUACACAAAAAUUGACGCUGAGGCACGAAAGCGUGGGGAUCAAACAGGAUUAGAUACCCUAGUAGUCC
rnacentral:rRNA from 1 species